rnacentral:piRNA from 1 species
UAGCCCCGUGUUUCUGAUAGCA